rnacentral:rRNA from 1 species
GCGAGCGUUGUCCGGAUUUAUUGGGCGUAAAGCGUGCGUAGGCGGCUGCGCAAGUCGGUUGUGAAACCCCGGGGCUCAACCCCGGAACUGCAUCCGAUACUGCGUGGCUAGAGGUAGGUAGGGGAGAUCGGAAUUCCUGGUGUAGCGGUGAAAUGCGCAGAUAUCAGGAGGAACACCGGUGGCGAAGGCGGAUCUCUGGGCCUUACCUGACGCUCAGGCACGAAAGCUAGGGGAGCGAACAGG